AACAAGGCGUACCUGCGGACCUGCGGAAGGAUCAUUCAUAAUAAAAGUGAAAUAAUUUAUGGCACUUUUAAAACAAUCCAUAUCCACCUUGUGUGCAAUGUUUUUUUUUAAUAUUUAUAUCAACUCUUUUAAAUACAAAAUUAUCUGAAAUUAUUUUAUGAAUUUUAUUUACUUAAUUCAAAAAUAUAACUUUCAGCAAUGGAUCU
rnacentral:misc_RNA from 1 species